rnacentral:tRNA from 1 species
CAAGACGUAGCUAAAGACAAAGCAUUCAGCUUACGCCUGAAAGAUAUCUGCUCACCCCAGAUCGUCUUGA